rnacentral:rRNA from 1 species
UACGGAGGGGGCUAGCGUUGUUCGGAAUUACUGGGCGUAAAGCGCACGUAGGCGGCUUUGUAAGUUAGAGGUGAAAGCCCAGGGCUUAACCCUGGAAUUGCCUUUAAGACUGCAUCGCUAGAAUCGUGGAGAGGUAAGUGGAAUUCCGAGUGUAGAGGUGAAAUUCGUAGAUAUUCGGAAGAACACCAGUGGCGAAGGCGACUUACUGGACACGUAUUGACACUGAGGUGCGAAAGCGUGGGGAGCAAACAGG